rnacentral:tRNA from 2 species
UCCGCGGUAGCUCAGCUGGUAGAGCAGCUGACUGUUAAUCAGCGGGUCGCAGGUUCGAGCCCUGCCCGCGGAGCCA